rnacentral:rRNA from 1 species
UGGGGAAUAUUGGACAAUGGGCGCAAGCCUGAUCCAGCAAUGCCGCGUGUGUGAAGAAGGCCUUCGGGUUGUAAAGCACUUUUAUCAGGAGCGAAAUACCACGGGUUAAUACCCUAUGGGGCUGACGGUACCUGAGGAAUAAGCACCGGCUAACUUCGUGCCAGCAGCCGCGGUAAUACGAAGGGUGCAAGCGUUAAUCGGAAUUACUGGGCGUAAAGCGUGCGUAGGUGGUGAUUUAAGUCUGCUGUGAAAUCCCCGGGCUCAACCUGGGAAUGGCAGUGGAUACUGGAUCGCUAGAGUGUGAUAGAGGAUGGUGGAAUUCCCGGUGUAGCGGUGAAAUGCGUAGAGAUCGGGAGGAACAUCAGUGGCGAAGGCGGCCAUCUGGAUCAACACUGACACGGAGGCACGAAAGCGUGGGGAGCAAACAGG